rnacentral:rRNA from 1 species
AGUGGAUGGGGAGCAACCUAGUUGUGCGUGUGUAAAGGUAGUGCCAAGAAAAGCGAUGAUCAUGUUGAAAAUCAAUUCCCGGUACCCGAAACCGACACAGGUGGGCAAGUAGAGAAUACUAAGGGGCGCGAGGUAACUCUCUCCAAGGAACUCGGCAAAAUGACCCCGUAACUUAGGGAGAAGGGGUGCCACCGAGAGGUGGUCGCAGUGAAGAGGCCCAGGCGACUGUUUAGCAAAAACAUAGGUCUCUGCAAACUCGAAAGAGGAGGUAUAGGGGCUGACGCCUGCCCAGUGCCGGAAGGUUAAAGAAGUUGGUCAGUCUUAGGAUGAAGCUAGCGACUGAAGCCCCGGUGAACGGCGGCCGUAACUAUAACGGUCCUAAGGUAGCGAAAUUCCUUGUCGGGUAAGUUCCGACCCGCACGAAAGGCGUAACGAUCUUGGCGCUGUCUCGGAGAGAGGCUCGGCGAAAUAGGAUUGUCUGUGAAGAUACGGACUACCUGCAUUUGGACAGAAAGACCCUAUGAAGCUUUACUAUAGCUUGGAAUUGUGUUCGGGCUUCCUGUGCGCAGGAUAGGUGGGAGGCGUAGAAGGUAUUCUUGUGGGGAUACUGGAGCCAACGGUGAGAUACCACUCUCAGGAGGCUAGAAUUCUAACUUAAUUAAGGACAGUUUCAGGUGGGUAGUUUGACUGGGGCGGUCGCCUCCAAAAAGGUAACGGAGGCGUACAAAGGUUCCCUCAGACUGGUUGGAAAUCAGUCGAAGAGUGCAAAGGCAGAAGGGAGCUUGACUGCGAGAAGUACAGUUCGAGCAGGGUGGAAACACGGUCUUAGUGAUCCGACGGUGCUGUGUGGAAGGGCCGUCGCUCAACGGAUAAAAGUUACUCUAGGAUAACAGGCUGAUCUCCCCCAAGAGUUCACAUCGACGGGGAGGUUUGGCACCUCGAUGUCGGCUCAUCGCAACCUGGGGCGGAAGUACGUCCCAAGGGUUGGGCUGUUCGCCCACUAAAGCGGUACGUGAGCUGGGUUCAGAACGUCGUGAGACAGUUCGGUCCAUAUCCGAUGUAGGCGUGAGAAUAUUGAGAGGAGCCUUCCUUAGUACGAGAGGACCGGGAAGGACGCACCGCUGGUGUACCUGCUAUGAUGCCAAUUGUAAACGCAGGGUAGCCAAGUGCGGAGAGGAUAACCGCUGAAAGCAUCUAAGUGGGAAGCCCACCUCAAGAUGAGUAUUCUGGUGUAAGGUCACGGGAAGACGACCCGUAAAUAGGCACGAGGUGGAAGUGCAGAGAUGUAUGAAGCCGAAGUGUACUAAUAGACCGUCGGCUUG